rnacentral:rRNA from 1 species
UACGUAGGGGGCUAGCGUUGUCCGGAAUCAUUGGGCGUAAAGAGCGUGUAGGCGGCCCGGUAAGUCCGCUGUGAAAGUCAAAGGCUCAACCUUUGAAUGUCAGCGGAUACUGCCGGGCUAGAGUCCGGAAGAGGCGAGUGGAACUCCUGGUGUAGCGGUGGAAUGCGCAGAUAUCAGGAGGAACACCGGUGGCGAAGGCGGGUCUCUGGGCCGAUACUGACGCUGAGGAGCGAAAGCGUGGGGAGCGAACAGG